rnacentral:rRNA from 1 species
UGGGGAAUAUUGCACAAUGGGCGCAAGCCUGAUGCAGCCAUGCCGCGUGUAUGAAGAAGGCCUUCGGGUUGUAAAGUACUUUCAGUCGGGAGGAAGGUGGUAAGGUUAAUAACCUUAUCAAUUGACGUUACCGACAUAAGAAGCACCGGCUAACUCCGUGCCAGCAGCCGCGGUAAUACGGAGGGUGCAAGCGUUAAUCGGAAUUACUGGGCGUAAAGCGCACGCAGGCGGUUGAUUGAGUCAGAUGUGAAAUCCCCGGGCUUAACCCGGGAAUUGCAUCUGAUACUGGUCAGCUAGAGUCUUGUAGAGGGGGGUAGAAUUCCAUGUGUAGCGGUGAAAUGCGUAGAGAUGUGGAGGAAUACCGGGGGCGAAGGCGGCCCCCUGGACAAAGACUGACGCUCAGGUGCGAAAGCGUGGGGAGCAAACAGG